CACGUAGGCACCAAGCGUUGUCCGGAAUUAUUGGGCGUAAAGAGCUCGUAGGCGGUGUGUCGCGUCGGCCGUGAAAACCUGCAGCUUAACUGUGGGCUUGCGGUCGAUACGGGCAUCACUGGAGUUCGGCAGGGGAGACUGGAAUUCCUGGUGUAGCGGUGAAAUGCGCAGAUAUCAGGAGGAACACCGGUGGCGAAGGCGGGUCUCUGGGCCGAUACUGACGCUGAGGAGCGAAAGCGUGGGGAGCGAACAGG
rnacentral:rRNA from 1 species